rnacentral:rRNA from 1 species
CAAUAGCGUAUAUUAAAGUUGUUGCGGUUAAAAAGCUCGUAGUUGGAUUUCUGUUGGGAACGACCGGUCCGCCCACUGGGUGUGUAUCUGGCUUGUUCUCGGCAUCUUCUUGGUGAACGUUGCUGCACUUGACUGUGUGGAGCGCUACCCAGGACUUUUACUUUGAGGAAAUUAGAGUGUUUCAAGCAGGCAUAUGCCUUGAAUACAUUAGCAUGGAAUAAUAAGAUAGGACCUCGGUUCUAUUUUGUUGGUUUCUAGAGCUGAGGUAAUGAUUAAUAGGGAUAGUUGGGGGCAUUCGUAUUUAACUGUCAGAGGUGAAAUUCUUGGAUUUGUUAAAGACGGACUACUGCGAAANCANNNGCCAAGGAUGUUUUCAUNGA